AACUGUAUCAGUGUAAGACUUGGAGAAGCUACACAAAUUAUUUUUACUGUAAUCAAAAUUUGUGGUCUGGUCGUUAUAGUGAUUGGUGGAUUCGUCAUGAUAAGUCGAGGUACAUAUGGUAGUCUAGCGACGGGUUUUCAAGGAUCAGAGAAAAAUCCAUUGGUCUAAUCUAAACUUUGUCAUAGAAGAACUUCAGAAUCCAAAACGAAACCUACCUUUGUGCAUCAUAACUUCCAUAUUGACUGUCCUGAUCUUGUAUUUCUUAGUUAAUAUAUCAUACCUCACUGUAUUGACCAAAGAAGAGUUUUUAUCAUCGUGGGCAACGGGUGUUUCUUGGGCUGAAUACGUUAUCCCUACAGCAGUUGUGUUCAUUCCCAUUGUUGUGGCUUGUUCUGUAUAUGGAUCAAUGAACGGAGGCAGU